rnacentral:rRNA from 1 species
GGAAGGUAGGGAGUGACGUCAAGUCAUCAUGGCCCUUAUGUCCAGGGCGACACACGUGCUACAAUGGCCGGCACAGGACGGAAGCGGAGGGCGACCGUGAGCGGAUCCCUUAAAGCCGGUCGCAGUUCGGAUUGAAGUCUGCAACUCGACUUCAUGAAGCUGGAAUCGCUAGUAAUCGCAGAUCAGCCAAGCUGCGGUGAAUACGUUCCCGGGCCUU